UAAUAAAAACUUCUUUAUCCUUAACUAAUGUAUCAUACUUACGGAGGUGAGUUUGGUUAGUUAGUUUUAAUUCUUUGUUUUUAAGGUUUAUUGUCUUGUAUUCAUCUAUUAAUUCAUUGAAGGCAUCAUAUAAUUCAUCAAACGUAAAAUCUAAAUGUGUUCCGGAAGUUACCUCAAUGUCGUUAGCCAUAAAGCAAAAGUUGGCCUUUUCUUCUUGUUCUUCAUCUGAUGAUGAUGAUGAUGUGUCGGAGUCCGAUAGGGUGGAGACGAGGACUUUCUUCUUCUUGUACUUGCUCCCCUUCUUCAGCAAGGGACACUCAGCUCUGAAGUGCCCCGGCUUCUU
rnacentral:lncRNA from 1 species